rnacentral:rRNA from 1 species
UACGUAGGGGGCGAGCGUUGUCCGGAUUUAUUGGGCGUAAAGAGCUCGUAGGCGGUUUGGUAAGUCGGGUGUGAAAUCUCCACGCUCAACGUGGAGGGGCCACUCGAUACUGCCAUGACUCGAGUCCGGUAGAGGAGUGUGGAAUUCCCGGUGUAGCGGUGAAAUGCGCAGAUAUCAGGAAGAACACCAAUGGCGAAGGCAGCUCUCUGGGACGGUACUGACGCUGAGACGCGAAAGCGUGGGGAGCGAACAGG